AAAAAAAAAAUUUUAAUAAGAGAGAAAGAUACCUUUAGGCCUACACACUGAAAUAUUUUGAUCUGAAGUGAUAUAAUAUCUAGGAGUAGCUAUCAAAUAAUCCAGAGGAAGGAAGGGAGGGAUAAGAACGUGAGUAAAAUAAGGUUGUUCCUCAGUGGAAGUGGUGGUGCAUGCUUUUAAUCCCAUCAUCAGGAAAAAGCAGGUGGAUCUCUGUGAAUUAGAGGCUAGCCUGGUCUACAUAGCAAGUUCCAGGCCAGCCAAGGCUACAAUAGGGAGACCCUGUCUCAGAAAAAUAAAUAAAUAACAUAACAAAACCUGCUGAGCCAACUCACCAGACUCUACUAAGGUAACAAUUUGAAAUUAAAAAAAAAAAAUCGUUUAGAUGCAUAGCAUGGUGUAUUUGAGAGAGGGUGUGGUUUGGUUUCGUUUGUUUUGUGGCACAUAGGCUAAGCAGAUAGUUAGCCAUUUAGCUCCCACACCCAGCCUAUUUGACUAUUUUGAAAUCCAUGUUAUUAUUGAUCAGCUGCCAAAAGUCUGCAAGGCCCUGACGAAUGGCUCUGGGGCUUGUGUUUUUCUGCACGUGAGGCCAGAGUUCUCACUCCCUGUCCACUGUUAGAACAAUGAAGGAGGCGUCUCUAGGAAAGAGGGAAGCAGUCUGUGAACCCAUUUGGCUGCCUGUGACCAUAGACAGUAAAAAUGUUGUGAUCAGAGGGACACCGAUACCUCUGUGUGAAUGAGGCCCAGAGUUGGCAAGGUAUCUGAUUCAGUGACCAGAAGACCUCCCGAGUGACCCUCAAAUGAACCAAAGCAAAGGCAAUUACACCUGAGCACCCGUCGCCAGUCACGCUGUACAGGUGCCAGGGUGGGAGAUUUCCAGGUUGGAGGAUCUCUGCUCACUCCAGGCAUAGCUCCUGACUGGAGUCAUACAGGACUGGGCUGAGUUUGCUGAGUUAAGCCAUGGACACAACGAGGUCCUGAGUCUUGCUGGUGAAAAUGAAAACAAUUGUUUGGUGAGUGAACUGCUUGCCCAAAACAACAGUCUGAAGCCCUGGGGGUGGGGGAGGAGCCCACCACUGUUUGCCACAAUGAGGAGCUUGUGCUAGACUGAAGGCUACAGAAACCUUGUGAAGCCAACACCCACAGCAUCAUCUUAAAUAACAAGAAUUCCCGGGAUAAAAAUGGGGCUGCGAGAGGGGAGCGGAGUCGCAAACAACAGAGUUCUCUCCAGCUAGCUCAAGCAAGGGGUUGGUGACGGAAUGCAGAGCUCCUCACAUUGUGUACAGGCCCUGAGUGGGCGCCUGGGUCAACCAGUGGCGCAGACAUACUGAAGAACUUUAGGCUCACCCAGGAAGCUGCCAAGCCCUGCCUCAGCACCUCUUGAGGACCCAGUCCCCAGUACCACUGCCCAGACAAACCCAACUGACUCCACUGCAACUUCUCAGACUACGCUCCAAGACAGAGUCUCCUGAAGGAACAUGUGAUCACUUGACUCUACGCCUCACGCUAGAUGACCAGCAAGUUUCAGACUUCCAUGCUGUAAGGAAACAACGAUUUCUUUCCUGUGUUUUGAAAGCCAGAAGAACUCCCUGCUUUGGUUCUGGUGACGCCCCAGGGACACUUGAGCUGAGAAUAUCUCUUUCCAGGAAGGAGCCACCAGUAUGAAAGCGCAGAUUCCCUUUUACCCCGCACAACUGAAAACAAAGCACUGGCCCCUCAAUGGGCCUAGACCAGACACAGUCACGACAGGAACGCCCUUGCCUCAGUACAGCUGCCAGGGGUUCCAUCCAGAACUUAAAACUGCAAACCCAUGGGGUUUGGGAAGAAGAGACCCAUGCCUGGGAUCACCAAUGUAUGUAUGGGUAAGGUGGAGCGGUCAGCCACCAAAGAAGCAGGAAUGGGGGGGCAGUUUCUGGACCACACCAUUUCAAUAAAUGAAGACAAAAGAAGAGAAACCUCUAGGGUAAUGAACCCUCGAAAAACUCCACCAAGACUGAAUGAUGGGUUUGAAGUCUAGAAGAGCAGGCCAUGUGGUUACAUGAUAUCCAG
ensembl:lncRNA